UUGGACUGUUCAACUCACCUGGCAGCCAUUUCCAGAGACCCUGGAACUCUGGCCCAAGGCUCUCUGACUCCUUCCCCAAUCUUCUCAGCUUAGUGGCUGAAGACUGACACUGCCCGAUCGCCUCAGAAGCCCCCUAAACCAUCACGGAUGCUGAGCUUCAGGUAACUCUCACAAUGGAAGAGGCCAUUAAACUUCAAAUGGUGAUGCAAAUGGAACCACACAUGGAUGUGCCAUUCUU
rnacentral:lncRNA from 1 species